rnacentral:rRNA from 1 species
AUUGAACGCUGGCGGCAGGCCUAACACAUGCAAGUCGAACGGAGCGGCGGACGGGGGCGUAAUGCCUAGGAAUCUGCCUGGUAGUGGGGGAGGGCGUCCGGCAACGGGCGCUAAUGCCGAAUACUAUCAGAUGAGCCUAGGUCGGAUUAGGUAGUGGGUGGGGUAAGGGCAUACAAAGGCGACGAUCCGUAACUGGUCUGAGAGGAUGAUCAGUCACACUGGAACUGAGACACGGUCCAGACUCCUACGGGAGGCAGCAGUGGGGAAUAUUGGACAAUGGGCGAAAGCCUGAUCCAGCCAUGCCGCGUGUGUGAAGAAGGCCUUCGGAUUGUAAAGCACUUUAAGUUGGGAGGCGUUACCAACAGAAUAAGCACCGGCUAACUCCGUGCCAGCAGCCGCGGUAAUAC